rnacentral:rRNA from 1 species
UCGGCAUGUCUUAGUAAGACUAUCUCACAGUGAAACUGCGAAUGGCUCAUUAAAUCAGCUAAGGUUCCUUAGAUCGUACAAUCCUACUUGGAUAACUGUAGUAAUUCUAGAGCUAAUACAUGCAACAAGCUCCGACCUUCCCUGGGAAGAGCGCUUUUAUUAGAUCAAAACCAAUCGGUUCCUUCGGGUUCCGUCCAAUUGGUGACUCUGGAUAACUUUGUGCUGAUCGCAUGGCCACGAGCCGGCGACGUAUCUUUCAAAUGUCUGCCCUAUCAACUUUCGAUGGUACCUGAUAUGGCUACCAUGGUUGCAACGGGUAACGGGGAAUGGGGCGGGGGCGGCGGGCCGGGCGCGGGGCGCGGCGGGCGAGACA